rnacentral:rRNA from 1 species
AGAGUUUGAUCCUGGCUCAGGAUGAACGCUAGCGGCAGGCUUAAUACAUGCAAGUCGAGGGGCAGCACGAAUAGCAAUAUUUGGUGGCGACCGGCAAACGGGUGCGGAACACGUACGCAACCUUCCCAAAACAGGUGAAUAGCCCUCCGAAAGGAGGAUUAAUACACCGUAAGAUAUGGAUGUGGCAUCACGAUCAUAUUAUAGAUAGCGAUAUCGGUUUUGGAUGGGCGUGCGCCUGAUUAGGUAGUUGGUGCGGGUAACGGCCCACCAAGCCUCCGAUCAGUAACUGGUGUGAGAGCACGACCAGUCACACGGGCACUGAGACACGGGCCCGACUCCUACGGGAGGCAGCAGUAAGGAAUAUUGGUCAAUGGACGGAAGUCUGAACCAGCCAUGCCGCGUGCAGGAUGAAGGCCCUCUGGGUUGU